UGAUCUCCUGGUUCUAUUCACUUCACUUGUCAUCAGUUCAUGUGAUCUUCAGAAUCUUCCUAAAACAAUUCAAAUGUAAACGAUUCCGUUUCCUGGCGCGAUGCUUAUCCUGUAAAAUGAGCUGGCUAAGAGAAAGGCAGGUUUCGCAGGCAUACAACAAUGAGGCAUGCCUGAUCUUCAUGAUCCCAUUUGGGGGUUUCUUG